GCACAACGCGAAGAACCUUACCAAGGCUUGACAUACACGAGAACGGGCCAGAAAUGGUCAACUCUUUGGACACUCGUGAACAGGUGGUGCAUGGUUGUCGUCAGCUCGUGUCGUGAGAUGUUGGGUUAAGUCCCGCAACGAGCGCAACCCUCGUUCUAUGUUGCCAGCACGUAAUGGUGGGAACUCAUGGGAUACUGCCGGGGUCAACUCGGAGGAAGGUGGGGAUGACGUCAAAUCAUCAUGCCCCUUAUGUCUUGGGCUUCACGCAUGCUACAAUGGCCGGUACAAUGGGCUGCGAUACCGUAAGGUGGAGCGAAUCCCAAAAAGCCGGUCCCAGUUCGGAUUGAGGUCUGCAACUCGACCUCAUGAAGUCGGAGUCGCUAGUAAUCGCAGAUCAGCAACGCUGCGGUGAAUACGUUCCCGGGUCUUGUACACACCG
rnacentral:rRNA from 1 species